AGUGGGGGAUAACGUAGCGAAAGUUACGCUAAUACCGCAUAUGCCCUGAGGGGGAAAGGAGGGGAUCGUAAGACCUUUCGCUUUCGGAGUGGCCGAUAUCGGAUUAGCUAGUUGGUGGGGUAAAGGCCUACCAAGGCGACGAUCCGUAGCUGGUCUGAGAGGACGACCAGCCACACUGGGACUGAGACACGGCCCAGACUCCUACGGGAGGCAGCAGUGGGGAAUUUUGGACAAUGGGCGCAAGCCUGAUCCAGCCAUGCCGCGUGAGUGAAGAAGGCCUUCGGGUUGUAAAGCUCUUUCGGACGGAAAGAAAUCGCACGGGCUAAUACCCCGUGUGGAUGACGGUACCGUAAGAAGAAGCGCCGGCUAACUACGUGCCAGCAGCCGCGGUAAUACGUAGGGUGCGAGCGUUAAUCGGAAUUACUGGGCGUAAAGCGUGCGCAGGCGGUUUUGUAAGACAGGUGUGAAAUCCCCGGGCUUAACCUGGGAACUGCACUUGUGACUGCAAGACUAGAGUGCGGCAGAGGGGGGUAGAAUUCCA
rnacentral:rRNA from 1 species